rnacentral:rRNA from 1 species
GACGAACGCUGGCGGCGUGCCUAAUACAUGCAAGUCGAGCGGACUUGACAGAGCUUGCUCUGUUCAAGUUAGCGGCGGACGGGUGAGUAACACGUGGGCAACCUGCCCUGCAGAUUGGGAUAACUCCGGGAAACCGGGGCUAAUACCGAAUAACAUUGAAAACCUCAUGGUUUUCUUUUAAAAGGCGGCUUCGGCUGUCACUGCAGGAUGGGCCCGCGGCGCAUUAGCUAGUUGGUGAGGUAACGGCUCACCAAGGCAACGAUGCGUAGCCGACCUGAGAGGGUGAUCGGCCACACUGGGACUGAGACACGGCCCAGACUCCUACGGGAGGCAGCAGUAGGGAAUCUUCCGCAAUGGACGAAAGUCUGACGGAGCAACGCCGCGUGAGUGAAGAAGGUUUUCGGAUCGUAAAACUCUGUUGUUAGGGAAGAACAAGUAUCGGAGUAACUGCCGGUACCUUGACGGUACCUGACCAGAAAGCCACGGCUAACUACGUGCCAGCAGCCGCCGUAAGAC